AGUGAACGCUGGCGGUAGGCCUAACACAUGCAAGUCGAACGGCAGCACAGUAAGAGCUUGCUCUUACGGGUGGCGAGUGGCGGACGGGUGAGGAAUACAUCGGAAUCUACUUUUUCGUGGGGGAUAACGUAAGGAAACUUACGCUAAUACCGCAUACGACCUACGGGUGAAAGCAGGGGAUCUUCGGACCUUGCGCGAUUGAAUGAGCCGAUGUCGGAUUAGCUAGUUGGCGGGGUAAAGGCCCACCAAGGCGACGAUCCGUAGCUGGUCCGAGAGGAUGAUCAGCCACACUGGAACUGAGACACGGUCCAGACUCCUACGGGAGGCAGCAGUGGGGAAUAUUGGACAAUGGGCGCAAGCCUGAUCCAGCCAUACCGCGUGGGUGAAGAAGGCCUUCGGGUUGUAAAGCCCUUUUGUUGGGAAAGAAAAGCAGCAGGUUAAUACCCCGCUGUUCUGACGGUACCCAAAGAAUAAGCACCGGCUAACUUCGU
rnacentral:rRNA from 1 species